rnacentral:rRNA from 1 species
GUGGGGAAUAUUGCGCAAUGGGGGAAACCCUGACGCAGCGACGCCGCGUGGGUGAUGAAGGCCUUCGGGUCGUAAAGCCCUGUCGGAGGGGAAGAAGGACUCUCGUGCAAAUAGUUCGAGGGUUUGACGGUACCCUUAGAGGAAGCACCGGCUAACUCCGUGCCAGCAGCCGCGGUAAUACGGAGGGUGCAAGCGUUGCUCGGAAUUACUGGGCGUAAAGGGCGUGUAGGCGGUUUCGUAUGUCUGGCGUGAAAGCCCCGGGCUCACCUCGGGAAGUGCGUCGGAAACUGCGAGACUAGAGUCCCGGAGAGGGAGGUGGAAUUCCAGGUGUAGCGGUGAAAUGCGUAGAUAUCUGGAAGAACACCGGUGGCGAAAGCGGCCUCCUGGACGGUGACUGACGCUGAGACGCGAAAGCGUGGGGAGCAAACAGGAUUAGAUACCCUUGUAGUCC